UGGUGGAUGGCAAGGAGGCUGCUCCCGGGGAGGUGCUUGUUUCAGGAAUACACAGGCAGCUGACUUCGCAGAGCAGCCUAGCCCCUGAGGUCUUCUUGGAGUUCAUCCUUCACCAUCUACCCAUUGACCACAACCGGCUGCCUGAAUGAGCUGCUGUCCCUCUCUGUGGUCUGUGCCCACCAUCUCCUCCUGGGCUUCAGUUACAAUAAAGGCCUUUCAGACAAAGUGAUGGAACUGGCUGGUGGGGUUGAAGUGGAAGGCCUGCCACAGUUUACUACCAGAAGUGAUUCAAUGAAUGAGUAGAGCUAA
rnacentral:lncRNA from 1 species